rnacentral:rRNA from 1 species
CUGCAGCUCAAGUGGUGACCACUAUUAUUGGGCCUAAAACGUUCGUAGCCGGUUUGGUAAAUGCCUGGGUAAAUCGUGUAGCUUAACUAUACGAAUUCCGGGUAGACUGCCAAACUUGAGACCGGGAGAAGCUAGAGGUACUCCUGGGGUAGAGGUGAAAUUCUGUAAUCCUGGGGGACCACCAGUGGCGAAGGCGUCUAGCUAGAACGGGUCUGACGGUGAGGAACGAAGCCCUGGGGCGCAAACCGGAUUAGAUACCCGAGUAGUCC